AGCUAGAUGGCAGAUUUGGUAAUGCAAAAGUUUGCAAAUCUUUUUAUGUCGGUUCAAUUCCGAUUCUAGCUU
rnacentral:tRNA from 1 species